UUUAGGGACGAUUACUUUGCCAAAAAAAAUGAAGAAAGAAAACAAAAUAAAGUGGAAGCUAAAUUAAGAGCUAAACAGGAGCAAGAAGCAAAACAAAAGUUAGAAGAAGAUGCUGAAAUGAAAUCUCUAGAAGAAAAGAUUGGAUGCUUGCUGAAAUUUUCGGGUGAUUUAGAUGAUCAGACCUGUAGAGAAGAUUUACACAUACUUUUCUCAAAUCAUGGUGAAAUAAAAUGGAUAGACUUCGUCAGAGGAGCAAAAGAGGUUUGGAUACAUCCCUAUCCUUUUUAGCAAUCAGUUUGAAAAUCUGUAGAAACUUAGACAAAAUUAGUAGAAAGUAAUUUUAAAAAUUGUGUUUAUUAAAUUAGUUUCUACUUGAUCAUUUGUUAUUGCCACUAGAUGUGAUGUCUGAUAUUUUCUGAAUUAUACUAAAUUAGUUUCUA
rnacentral:lncRNA from 1 species